rnacentral:rRNA from 1 species
ACUCCUACGGGAGGCAGCAGUGGGGAAUAUUGCACAAUGGGCGCAAGCCUGAUGCAGCCAUGCCGCGUGUAUGAAGAAGGCCUUCGGGUUGUAAAGUACUUUCAGCAGUGAGGAAGGUGGGUAUGUUAAUAGCAUACUCAUUUGACGUUAGCUGCAGAAGAAGCACCGGCUAACUCCGUGCCAGCAGCCGCGGUAAUACGGAGGGUGCGAGCGUUAAUCGGAAUUACUGGGCGUAAAGCGCAUGCAGGUGGUUUGUUAAGUCAGAUGUGAAAGCCCGGGGCUCAACCUCGGAAUUGCAUUUGAAACUGGCAAACUAGAGUACUGUAGAGGGGGGUAGAAUUUCAGGUGUAGCGGUGAAAUGCGUAGAGAUCUGAAGGAAUACCGGUGGCGAAGGCGGCCCCCUGGACAGAUACUGACACUCAGAUGCGAAAGCGUGGGGAGCAAACAGGAUUAGAUACCCCUGGUAGGCGUAG